GAUGAACGCUAGCGAUAGGCUUUACACAUGCAAGUCGAGGGGCAGCAUGGUCUUAGCUUGCUAAGACUGAUGGCGACCGGCGCACGGGUGCGUAACGCGUAUGCAACUUGCCUCACAGAGGGGGAUAACCCGUCGAAAGACGGACUAAUACCGCGUACACUUGGGAUAGGGCAUCCUGACCCAAGGAAAUGAAAUUCGCUGUGAGAUAGGCAUGCGUCCCAUUAGCUAGUUGGUGAGGUAACGGCUCACCAAGGCGACGAUGGGUAGGGGAACUGAGAGGUUGAACCCCCACACUGGUACUGAGACACGGACCAGACUCCUACGGGAGGCAGCAGUGAGGAAUAUUGGUCAAUGGGCGAGAGCCUGAACCAGCCAAGUCGCGUGAAGGAUGACUGUCUUAUGGAUUGUAAACUUCUUUUAUACGGGAAUAACAAGAGCCACGUGUGGCUCCCUGCAUGUACCGUAUGAAUAAGCAUCGGCUAACUCCGUG
rnacentral:rRNA from 1 species